rnacentral:lncRNA from 1 species
GAGGGCUCAGAAGAAGACAGGAAGAUGUGGAAAAGUUUGGAACUUCCUAGAGACUUGUUGAAUGGUCUCGACCAAAAUGCUGACAGUGUUAUGAACAAUGAAGUCCAAGCUGAGGUGGUCUCAGAUGGAAAUUAGGAACUUCUUGGGAACUGGAGCAAAGAUGCCAAUGAUGGACCAGUUUCUGGAUGGAUAGAGUUUGUUUCUUCAAAUUCUUCUGUUCCCUUUGCGUGGUGUUUCUGGGUGUCCUGUGAUGCUGAUAUUUCAAUGAUAGGCAAAGCAUGCUCAUCUGCCAUGAAAUAAAGUCUGGAUGGAAAGACUGGGAGCCUGAGAAGCAGCCUCUGUAACAGUUUCAUUUGUCUGCCUGGGAAUGUAAUGGCUUGGGGGUCCUUCUACCUCUUGGACUGAAGAGCAACUGACCUCGCUCCUUCCUGUCAAUGAUGGCAUUCAACUCCAAGAUCCAGAAAUCAGUGCUUAUGUCCCAAACACAAAAACCUGUAUUAUAAGGAGCUCACUGGUGCUUGCAUCUGCACUUAAUUGUAGAAAAAAAUAUAGAGGCCGACCUGUCCACUCACAUACAUAGCAUGACAUACAAUGGCCAUACAGGUGCAGAAACUUCCCAAAAGACAUUGGUACACCUCUCUACAUUGAUUAGUGACAGAGAUAAAGGCAGAGACAGAGACAGAGACAAGAUGGAGAAGGAGAUGGAGAUGGACAUAGACUAAUACAUAAUGGGGUAAAUGUCCCAUUUGCCUUUAAAGAUCAAGGACAAGGAUAUUUAUUUAGUCAUAGUUCUGGAAGGUAGAGGAUAAAAGCCAAAUUGUUGAAAACCUGGGCUCCUUCUGACAUACUCUUUUGAUUCCAUGUCUUGGAAUGCACUCUUGGCUUUUUUAACAACCCCUCAAAUUGCUUCUCUUUCUUGAUGCACCCACACUGCUAGUGUGUCAACAAAAGAUUACAAAUUCCUCCUCAAGAGAGCAUCAGGGUCAGGCUCAGGCAAUAAGGAACCACUUAGACCCAGAUGACUAAGGCAAAAAUUAGGCACACACAAAGGCAGUAUAAAAUCCUUAAGGUAAAAGUAAAAAAUAAGAUAGCCAGAACAGUCCUACUUGAGACUGUUGGAAAUGAUGUAACACAUCAUGAGUCCUUUCUUGCUGACCUUGAUUCUUUUGGUAUUAUUAUUAUCAAUACCCGGAUUGAUGUCAUGUUCAACUGUCAAUGAGUUAGCUGCAAAAUAAUUGGCAUGCAUCAGACUGGGGGAUACUUCAGUGUUCCUGAGAUGAAUUGAGAGAGUGAACAGGAAAUAAUCUUUGAAGACCAGGAAAAAGCAUCAAAGAUAGGUAAGCCUGGAAUGUCCUUAGGAAGGGGCCUUCCUAAUCCUUCUGCCUUAAGAAGAAUAUCACAUUGACACUCGGGCCUGGGAGGAAACUGAGGCCACAUGAGGGAGAGGUGAGAGAGGAAAGAACUGCUAUUUUUUUAAUGUUAUCUUCCUCUGAAGCGCUUAUACAUACAUUGAUUCAAGUUUGAUUUUCACAAGCACCUGAGGUAGGUACUACCUCCAUUUUUACAGAUGGGAAAGUAGGCAAAAUAUAGGUAAAAUCCAUUAUCUGAGAUUACGCAUUUGGUAACUGCUGUACCUGGAACCCAGACACCUCAAUCCCAUCCUUCUUUACUUAUCCAAAGUCUCCCUCCCUAAUGGAAAACUGGGGACCUGCCUAGGCUGAGAGUUUCUUAGAGAGGAAGCCACCUUGUGGGAGUUCUUUACUUGAAGUCGUACAUGACACUCAGGUCAAGUAGACAGAAACAGCAGAGAAUAAAGGUGGAAACAAAGAUCAGAUAUGGGCGCCACAGCCAGUCUCUAGACCUGAGAAGGGUCAGGCACAGAGACAGAAACCAGAGUAAACACAGGGGCUGGAGAAGCAAACUGAGGAGUAUGGGGACCAUGGGUGAAGGGAAGGAAGGAGGGUGUUCUUGGGUGGAUUUUUGGGAAGAUGCUUUGGCCAAAGUGGGCUUUCAUAUGACCCUCAGCAUUAUGUGAGGCAAGGUCAUCCGUGUUUAAAAUUCCAGAGUUUGGUUCUUCUUGUUUGUUUUUGAUAAUUUACUCAUUUCAUUGAAUUCCCACCCUUUUCAGGGUCACGCAAAGAUAUAAGUUCUCAGGGGUGAGGUUCCAAGGGACUUUAUCACUACCCUAGCAGCUUGCCUAAUAGUAUGCAGGAUCAGAUAUCGAGCAGUAACUAUUCAGCUAUAGAUACCAGCUUCCUGUGUUUGGAAAAGGUAAGGAAAUUGUUCAUUCAUUCUACAAAUACUUGCGGAGGAUGCAAAAAUGGAACAGGGCCAUCAUGGACGUUCAGAUAAAAUGCUGGGGGAGUUGAGAGGAGGAAGCUGGCAUUUGAGCUGGGACUAAAAUCCACCCUAGCUCUCGUAUGUGUGUGCAAGUGCAUGCUUUCAAUGCCUUCUUAUAGGAAUGACGUUUGCACUAAUCCCACUGUAUUACAAUUAUCCAGUUACUUUUCUGCCUCUCUCGAUCAAACUGAAAACUCUUAAAGGGCAAGGACUGAAGCUUGUUCAUCAUAGACCAUAUACUACUAGUAGUAAUAGUAUACAUGUGGAAAAUCUUUACUCAAUUUUAAUUGAUUUUAAAUUAAUCAUCAGACCUAGAGUUUGGAAAACUUGACUCCAAUGACAAAAGCCAGUCCUAGGAUUUGCAAUGCAUAAUCCUAUGCUUUCUCUAUGAAAUGGCAGGGCUUCUGAUGUUACCCUCCUGAGCAGAGUCUACAGCAUGGUUUUCUUGAAUUUCCCACAGAAUCAAAAACAGUGCCACAGACAUGGGAAAACUCGACAAAUAUUUUAUCAGAACAAUCAAGUGAUUUGACUUACAGCAAAACACAAAUUAGUGUGACUUCAGAAAAUAUUUUCAUCAUAUCUUGGUCAUAUUUUUUCAUCAUAUAUAAUCCCUAGCAAAGAAACAGAGGACAUGCAGACCAUAUGACAUGAGGUUUCACAUUAGCUUGAUUUGACAAAGAUGCAAAUAAUGCACAGACCAUCUGUACAUGAGAACCAGAUGUCUCAUUUGCAUUUGGAUUUUUCCAGUAGAAAUGAAUGUGGAGGCUUUGAGAAAUGCAUUAAAUUUAUUUUAAUUGACAUAGACUUAGAAUGUUGAGACAAAUUAUUUUCCAGGCAUCAAAUGCAAAGGUCAGUGUGUGCACUUGAAGGGAUAAAAAUAACAAUGAAAGAAGGGCAAGGCAGCUGAGGUCGGCACUAGAAGCAUCUGGAGGAUAUGGAAACUAUAAGGAGGCAGAUAUUGGAGGCACAGAUAAACACCCAACUUUAACUAAUAUUGCUUGAGACCAUCUCAUAUACCAGUUGUUGUAAAAGCAACUUCUGUAUUCAUUAUUUCAUUUAAUUAUCAUAACAUCCAUAUGGAGAAACUCAUGAAACCCCGCUCUGCAGAUUAAAAAAUAAAAAGACAUAGAGACUCAAAGAGGUUAAGCUGACUUGCCCAUGCAGCCACAACUUUCAAAUCUCUGCAUCAGCAAUCAAACCUAUGACUUGUCGCUUACUGACCAAUGCUCUAAAGCAGACAAGGCAGGGAGGAACAGGCAGGUUCCCUGGUGUCAAAAGCUAGCUUGUCACUUACUGACCAGUGCUCUAAAGCAGACAAGGCAGUGAGGAACAGGCAGGUUCCCUGGUGUCAAAAGCGAGACUCCAGAUUCACAGAGUCAGCAAGACCAGCCUAACUAACAAGAAGCACCAAGGUGGAGUUUGUUAAAAGGUCUACCUAAGAGAGUAGUCCAGGAAUCACAGGUAUCAAGUCCUUGAGGCCUUUAGGUAAAACCUGAACCUUGAACCCUGGCAGGGCAGAGAUACCGUGGCUGUAAAGUGUGGAUGUACUUUUAUCCUCUGGAGUCCUGGUCAUUUUUGUUCAGUACAAAUGGUGAGUCAGAGAUUUUGAAACAGCAAAGAAGAGCCAAGCUCUAAGGAAAACUCAAAUGGUCUAUUUUAUCCUGUUCUGUUUCCAGUUUUAGAAUGAAUACACUUCAGCUAGCUCAGCAUUUGAGCCCCCUUGAGCAGAAAGAGUUAAUCCAUUUGGAAUUUCGUGGGAAGCUGGGUUGGUUAGGCUGUGGGGGAAAAAAAAAAACCACCAGCAUUUAGCUCAUUGAAACAGAGAAGGGGCCUGUGGGUCACUGUUGUUCAGCACCAAGACUAGGAAAUGGUUUAUUGUACAACAUUCAAUAAGCAUUUUCUCUGAAGGAAGUGGGCUGUAAAUGUGUCAAAUGACAGUUAUGGAUUGGUCUCUGGGGAGAGGAGAUGUGUUGAAUUGCUUUACUUGAUAAAUUGACUUAGGAAUUAAAUGAAAACUUCUACUCUGAAUCACAUGGACCUAGUGCAGUUCUUAAUUCUAUUCCAGUAAUGCUCUAUUGAGAAUGGUAUUCCUUAAUAUUUGUGUGGUUCUUUAUGAAUUUUCCAAGGUAUGUUUAUACUUAUCAUUCCUGAAUUUCUUGUUGCUUGUGUUGAAUUGAACCAAAUUUGGCCUGAGAAUGACUCUAUACUUUGAUUCCUUAUGUAACAACUGCAACCUAACUUAGUACAGAAACUAACUGAAAGCCGACUUUAGGAGUAUACUUUUGUAACAAAUAGCUGAGUCUUGGCCCAUCACAGCAGCUAAGCUCCAAUCCAUCACUGAUCAGACCUUAUUCAAAUAGGGCAAACACCAAGCUAUAACCAAUCAAGCUGUUUCUAUGCCUCACUUCCAUUUUCAUAAAUGCUGUCCGCCCAUGUUGUAAAGGGGAACUCUCUGAACCUCUUCUGGCUCUGAGGUUUGCCCAAUUUGUGAAUAGUUCUUUGCUCAGUUAAAUUCUGCUGAAUUUAAUUUGCCUCAAGUUUUUAUUUGAAUACAUGGGAAGAGCAAAGCAUUAUUAUUCCCUCUCCCUUUAAAACAAAUUUUUUUAGAGAUGGCGUUUGCUCUGUUGCCCAAGCUGUUGUGCAGUGGCGUGAUCAUAGUUCAUCGUAACCUUGAAUUUCUGGGUGUAAGUGAUCCUCCUACCUCACCCUCACAAGUAUCUGGGACUAUAGGCUCAUGCCACCGUGCCCCUCUCCCUUUCAUUUUAGAUGAAAGAGCAGUGGUACAGGCCAGGCGCAGUGGCUCACGCCUGUAAUCCCAGCACUGUGGGAGGCCAAGGAGGGUGGAUUGCCUGAGGUCAGGAGUUCGAGACCAGCCUGGCCAACAUGGUGAGACCCUGUUUCUAUUAAAAAUACAAAAAUUAGCCAGGUAUGGUGGUGCAUGCCUGUAGUCCCAGCCACUCAGGAGGCUGAGGCAAGAGAAUCGCCUGAACCGGGGAGGUGGAGGUUGUAGUGAGCCGAGAUCAUGCCACUGCACUCCAGCUUGGGCAACAGAAGUGAGAAUCCAUCUCAAAGGAAGAAAAAAAGCAGUGCUACAGAUAGAAGAAUGAAUUAUCAACAUGACCAGCGUGAGGCUGCUAUGGAUAGUAAUAAUAAGAAGAAGAAUAACAAAUAAUUUGUUGAACACCUCAUACUCAGUGCCAAGCAUUGGGCUAAGCACCCGAUAAAUACUAUCUCAUUUAAUUGUCAUCUCAGUUCUAUGAUAUAGGUACAAUUAUGAUCUCCAUUUGAAUAAGAGAAAAAAACUGAGGUUUACAAUGGUAAACAUUUACCUCUACAAAGGUUUACUCAAGCAGGCCCCACAAGCAAGAAAUGACAGAGCUGGGAUUUGAGACCCUGCAGUCUAGUUUCGGACUCAUACUUCGAACCAGUGUGCUCUAGCUUCCCUUUCCCUCUCUCCUCCUGCUCCUAUUUAGCCCCCUCUCUACUGUGUCCCACCUGGUAGUUUAGCAAGCAUCACCUGAUUCCAAGAAAGUUGGGUAACAUAGAGCUAUUGAGCAUAAAUGAUAAUGGGUGUAAAGUUCAAGACAUGGGAGUUAGCACAUUGUAAGUGCUCAAAACAAUUGCUAACCAGUAUGUAAAUGUAUGGAAAACAAUGUUACUUUUCUUAGCAUCAGGAUUCCUUUUAGGGAGAGGAUUCUAAGUCACUGGAAAGAAACUUUGAUCAUUGGUUUAAGGGUUAGAGGACUAUGUCCAACUGGCAAUUAAGCGACCCUACUUCAUUCUAUGGAAGAUGGCUCCACUUACUUUUGGGGCUUUAUUUGCUGAAAGGGGUGUGCAAGUUUUCAGUGAACUUAAUUCCUUCAGAUCAUAGGACAGAAAUUGAGGGAAAGGAGAAUCUAAGUACCACUGGGAAGAGAGAAUUUGGAGAGAAGGGAGCAGAAAUAUCUAAAAG